AUUGAACGCUAGCGGCAGGCCUAACACAUGCAAGUCGAACGAGUGGCGGACGGGUGAGUAAUGACUGUGAAAAUGCCCGAUGGAGGGGGAUAAAUACGGGAAACUGAUGCUACUACCGCGUACCAUCGGAUGUGCCCAGAUGGGAUUAGCUAGGAGGUGGGGUAACGGCUCACCUAGUAGACGAUCCCUAGCUGGUCUGCGAGGAUGAACAGCCACACUGGAACUGGGACACGGUCCAGACUCCUACGGGUGGCAGCAGUGGGGAAUAUUGCACAAUGGGCGCAAGCCUGAUGCAGCCAUGCCGCGUGUAUGAAGAAGGCCUGCGGGUUGUAAAGUACUUUCAGCGGGGAAGCGUUACCCGCAGAAGAAGCACCGGCUAACUCCGUGCCAGCAGCCGCGGUAAUUC
rnacentral:rRNA from 1 species